rnacentral:rRNA from 1 species
CACUAUAGGACGAUUGAUUAGCCGCCGCGAUCGCCCUGUGCCAGCAGCCGCGGUAAUUCCAGCUCCAAUAGCGUAUAUUAAAGUUGUUGUGGUUAAAAAGCUCGUAGUUGGAUCUCGGCGGACUGAGGGCGGUUUGCUUGCUAGUAUUACUGCCCUAUAGUCCGUAGUUUUGCCAGAGGUUUCGGGGUGCUCUUAAUCGAGUGUCCCGGGAUGCUGGCAGGUUUACUUUGAAAAAAUUAGAGUGCUCAAAGCAGGCUAUUACGCCUGAAUAUUCGUGCAUGGAAUAAUAGAAUAGGAAGUCGUUUCUAUUUUGUUGGUUUUCGGAAAUCGACUUAAUGAUUAAUAGGGACAGUCGGGGGCAUUUGUAUUCAAACGACAGAGGUGAAAUUCUUGGACCGUUUGAAGACAAACUACUGCGAAAGCAUUUGCCAAGAAUGUUUUCAUUAAUCAAGAACGAAAGUUAAAGGUUCGAAGGCGAUUAGAUACCGCCCUAGUUUUAACCAUAAACGAUGCCAGCUAGCGAUCUGCGGACGUUUUUUUUGUAGACUCCGCAGGAAGCUUCCGGGAAACCAAAGCAUUUGGGUUCCAGGGGAAGUAUGGUUGCAAAGCUGAAACUUAAAGGAAUUGACGGAAGGGCACCACCAGGAGUGGAGCCUGUGGCUUAAUUUGACUCAACACGGGAAAUCUCACCAGGCCCGGACACUGGAAGGAUUGACAGAUUGAUAGCUCUUUCUUGAUUCGGUGGGUGGUGGUGCAUGGCCGUUCUUAGUUGGUGGAGUGAUUUGUCUGGUUAAUUCCGAUAACGAACGAGACUCUGUCCUGCUAAAUAGUGUCUGCUUCUCUUUUGAGCAGACAAUUCUUCUUAGAGGGACUGGCGACUCUUAGUCGCACGAGAUUGAGCAAUAACAGGUCUGUGAUG